UGAUUCCAAAAUCGGUUUAUGGUGGCGACGUGGCUGUGGUUAAUUUUAAUAUGGGAAAACCAGUUACAACGGUGGGUCCCCGUUGUGUGUAGCAGGAAGGAGGGAAGGGAAGGGAAGAGGGGCUGACGUGAAUGAAUAAACAACUGAGCUCCUCCUCAACGCCACAGCGGACUCUGGCUCAGCUACUUUAAUAGGCUGAUUGAUUUCAAAUGUGCUUCGAGGGGCUUGGCUGGCCUGGACAACAAUGACUCUUCUACAUCUCAACAAGGACUUGACUCAUCUUUCACCUGCAGCCUGCCUCACAGCUGUUCAAUGAGCUCAGAACCGGCCCACAUGCAAGAACACACAGCUCUGCACAACAUAAUAUAAGCCCCCAUUGAGCCUAUGUGGUUUUUGGAGAGUCCAAAGCCUGAUGUAUCACAUGCCUCUGUUUUUUCACGAAUCCUCAUGCAUCCAGUAUUUUUCUCUCCACUGAGUUUUUUCCUCUUCAUGUUUGUUUUGUUUAUAGCGGAGAUUCACAACUGACAAAUGCUAGCUAUGUCUCCUUUUUGCCAUCUUUGUUUGAGAAUAAAUGCUUUUAUUCAAUGUAUGUCACACCCUUUAUUGCCAUUCCCAGGAGCAGAGGAAUA